GACGAACCGUGCGAACGUUGUUCGGAAUCACUGGGCUUAAAGGGCGCGUAGGCGGCUUGCCAAGUCAGUGGUGAAAUCCUGCAGCUUAACUGUAGAAGUGCCUUUGAUACUGGCAAGCUAGAGGGAGGUAGGGGUCUGUGGAACUUCUGGUGGAGCGGUGAAAUGCGUUGAUAUCAGAAGGAACGCCGGUGGCGAAAGCGACGGACUGGACCUCUUCUGACGCUGAGGCGCGAAAGCCAGGGGAGCAAACGGGG
rnacentral:rRNA from 1 species